GCCUGGCUGGCUCAGGUGGAAGAGUGUGGGACUCUUGAUCUCAGGAUCGUGGGUUCGAGUCCCACGUUGGGAG
rnacentral:tRNA from 1 species